rnacentral:rRNA from 1 species
UAUAUGGCAAAUGUGAGAUGCAGUGUAUGGAACAUCUAUAUUCUAGUAUGAGAAAUUAACGAUUUAAGUCCUUCUUAAAUGAGGCCAUUUACCCAUAGAGGGUGCCAGGCCCGUAUAACGUUAAUGAUUACUAGAUGAUGAUUUCCAAAGAGUCGUGUUGCUUGAUAGUGCAGCACUAAGUGGGUGGUAAACUCCAUCUAAAACUAAAUAUAACCAUGAGACCGAUAGUAAACAAGUACCGUGAGGGAAAGUUGAAAAGAACUCUGAAUAGAGAGUUAAAUAGUACGUGAAACUGCUUAGAGGUUAAGCCCGAUGAACCUGAAUAUCCAUUAUGGGAAAUUCAUCAUUAUAAUUAUAAUAUUUAAUAAAUAUUAUUAAUAAUAGUGUGCAUUUUUCCCAUAUAAGGACAUUGUAAUCUAUUAGCAUAUACAAAAAUUUAUCAUAAAAUAUGGCUUAUAGUUUAUUCAAAUUAUUAUGGCUUGCCCAUUGAUAACAUAGAAUAAAUGUCAUUAAAUUUGAUAAAGUGCUGAUAGAUUGAUAUGAAAUACAGUGUGUUAAUUUUUCGAAAUUAUAUAAUGAUAUUUAUAUCUAUGAUAUUUAUAUUUAUUAUAGGCACUUGUAUGAUUAACAAUGCGAAAGAUUCAGGAUACCUU